CAGGAGCCUGUUUCUCCCUGCACUCGCCCCGUAUCUGCCGUCUCCAUCAUCCCGCCCCCAUCCCUCUCCCCAGGCCAUUCCUGCGUCCUGCCUCCUCCCCUCAGGAUCCCCUGCCCGAGCUUCAGGCUGACUGAGCCAGGAACACAGGGGAAGUGGAGGCCUAACCACCGAGGGCUACAAGGAAACAGUAUUGUUCAAACCCAGCAGGCAGUUGCACAUACGGAUCCAUAGUGGUCCUGGCAGCUUGCACAAGACCCACAAAAGCUCAAAAAAUUAGACAAGAUCUCAGCGUGGCUAGAGGAGGUGCUAGGGACGUUCCACCCCUAACUGAAGAAAUAUUGGCAACUGGUAGCUUCUGAGAGAGGAGAGUCUGUUUACAGUUAUGCCCCUGAAGCUACCAGUUGCCAAGAUCAGGCACUCCAGGAUCUUCACCCCUCCGAAGUCUCAGAUAAAUCAAGAGAGGACUCAAGCCCCAGCAGAGGCAAACUGGCUGCCCUGGAAGACCUGCUGCAGCCUCUGGCUUCUUCAGCUCAGCUUCACCAUGGCGAUGACCAGAGGAAUGAGGAUCCCCCACCUUCAUAACUACUUCUAAUAUUGCAGAAAGGAGGGCUGGCGAGAGAGCUCAGCAGAUAAGAGGAUCCAUUGCUCUUCCAGACGACCUGGGUUUGAUAACCACCACAUGCAUGCAUGACAACUCACUACUGUAACUACAUUUCCAGAGGGUCCAAUGCCCUCCUCUAGCCUCUGUGGGCACAUGACAUGCAUGUGGUGCACAGGCAAAGCACCCAUAUGCAUGAAAUAAAAUAAAUACAUCUUUAAAAAUUCUAACUGCA
rnacentral:lncRNA from 1 species